GACGAACGCUGGCGGCGUGCCUAAUACAUGCAAGUCGAGCGAAAAUUUGAGAGCUUGCUCUCAAAUUUUAGCGGCGGACGGGUGAGUAACACGUGGACAAUCUGCCUCGAAGACUGGAAUAACCUCGCGAAAGCGGGGCUAAUACCGGAUAAUAAUGGAAAUUUUAUGGUUUCUAUUUAAAGCUCCGGCGCUUCGAGAUGAGUCCGCGUCUGAUUAGCUUGUUGGUGAGGUAACGGCUCACCAAGGCAACGAUCAGUAGCCGGCCUGAGAGGGCGAUCGGCCACAUUGGGACUGAGACACGGCCCAGACUCCUACGGGAGGCAGCAGUAGGGAAUCUUCCACAAUGGACGAAAGUCUGAUGGAGCAACGCCGCGUGAGUGAAGAAGGUUUUCGGAUCGUAAAACUCUGUUGUAAGGGAAGAACACGUACGAGAGUAACUGCUCGUACCUUGACGGUACCUUAUUAGAAAGCCACGGCUAACUACGUG
rnacentral:rRNA from 1 species